GUCAAAGUAUUACAUUAAAUCUUUGUCCGACAUGAAGGUGGCAGUUUAUCUUUUCCUGUUGGGGUCUAUUGUUUCCGUAAGUGGUUUAUUCUUGAAGCAGGAGCCAUGUCACGGUGCUAUAUUUAACUGUUUCAUUGCGCCAUGUACGUUAGCAAAAUGUGAAAGUCAUCCACACGCUACAUGCAGAGAUAACUACUGUGGCGGAUGUCACGCCGAUUUCUAUGUAGGGUCACACAAGGUCAAUUGCACAACGGCAGUACAUGCACCUGCAACCUAGAAGUGGGUGCAACAAAUUGUUUCCUUGUUUGUAUAUUAAAGUUGUUAUUUACA